rnacentral:rRNA from 1 species
GACGUAGGAUGCAAGCGUUGUCCGGAUUUAUUGGGCGUAAAGAGUUCGUAGGUGGUUUGUUAAGUCUGAUGUUAAAGACUGGGGCUCAACCUCCAGCCUGCAGUGGGGUACGGGCAGACUAGAGUGCGGUAGGGGAGAUUGGAAUUCCUGGUGUAGCGGUGGAAUGCGCAGAUAUCAGGAGGAACACCGAUGGCGAAGGCAGAUCUCUGGGCCGUAACUGACGCUGAGGAGCGAAAGCAUGGGGAGCGAACAGG